rnacentral:rRNA from 1 species
CCUACGGGAGGCAGCAGUAAGGAAUAUUGGUCAAUGGACGAAAGUCUGAACCAGCCAUGCCGCGUGAAGGAUUAAGGCCCUCUGGGUUGUAAACUUCUUUUAUCUGGGACGAAAAAAGGGUAUUCUUACUCACUUGACGGUACCAGAGGAAUAAGCACCGGCUAACUCCGUGCCAGCAGCCGCGGUAAUACGGAGGGUGCAAGCGUUAUCCGGAUUUACUGGGUUUAAAGGGUGCGUAGGUGGGCUUGUAAGUCAGUGGUGAAAUCUCCGGGCUUAACCCGGAAACUGCCAUUGAUACUAUAGGUCUUGAAUUAUCUGGAGGUAAGCGGAAUAUGUCAUGUAGCGGUGAAAUGCUUAGAUAUGACAUAGAACACCAAUUGCGAAGGCAGCUUACUACGGAUAUAUUGACACUGAGGCACGAAAGCGUGGGGAUCAAACAGGAUUAGAUACCCUGGUAGUCCACGCCCUAAACGAUGGAUACUCGACAUCAGCGAUACACUGUUGGUGUCUGAGCGAAAGCAUUAAGUAUCCACCUGGGAAGUACGAUCGCAAGAUUGAAACUUCAAAUUGAAUUGACGGCUUGNGAGNGCGAGACGACGACGAGGAGAGG